CGCUGGCGGCGUGCCUAACACAUGCAAGUCGAGCGAGGAGAUUCCUUCGGGAUGAUCCUAGCGGCGGACGGGUGAGUAACACGUGGGCAGCCUGCCUCAUAGAGAGGAAUAGCCUUCCGAAAGGGAGAUUAAUACCUCAUAACAUUGCAGUUUCGCAUGGAACAGCAAUUAAAGGAGCAAUCCGCUAUGAGAUGGGCCCGCGGCGCAUUAGCUAGUUGGUGAGGUAACGGCUCACCAAGGCGACGAUGCGUAGCCGACCUGAGAGGGUGAUCGGCCACAUUUGGGACUGAGACACGGCCCAGACUCCUACGGGAGGCAGCAGUGGGGAAUAUUGCACAAUGGGGGAAACCCUGAUGCAGCCAACGCCGCGUGAGUGAUGACGGCCUUCGGGUUGUAAAGCUCUGUCUUCAGGGACGAUAAUGACGGUACCUGAGGAGGAAGCCACGGCUAACUACGUGCCAGCAGCAGC
rnacentral:rRNA from 1 species